GACGAACGCUGGCGGCGUGCUUAACACAUGCAAGUCGAGCGAUGAAGCUUCUUCGGAAGUGGAUUAGCGGCAGACGGGUGAGUAACACGUGGGUAACCUGCCUCAUAGAGGGGAAUAGCCUUCCGAAAGGAAGAUUAAUACCGCAUAAGAUUGUAAUAUCGCAUGAUAUAGCAAUUAAAGGAGUAAUCCGCUAUGAGAUGGACCCGCGUCGCAUUAGCUAGUUGGUGAGGUAACGGCUCACCAAGGCGACGAUGCGUAGCCGACCUGGGAGGGUGAUCGGCCACAUUGGGACUGAGACACGGCCCAGACUCCUACGGGAGGCAGCAGUGGGGAAUAUUGCACAAUGGGGGAAACCCUGAUGCAGCAACGCCGCGUGAGUGAUGACGGUCUUCGGAUUGUAAAGCUCUGUCUUUAGGGACGAUAAUGACGGUACCUAAGGAGGAAGCCACGGCUAACUACGUGCCAGCAGCCGCAGUAACAC
rnacentral:rRNA from 1 species